UAUCUGCAGAAAAAGAAGUCCAUUUAUCCAUGAAUGUUGAUCACCUUUGGCUCCAAAUAUAAAAAUCAGGAUAAACAUCGUGUCUAGAUACACUUCCAUGUAGGAUCCAACCAACAACACAUGUCUCCCUAGAGUUGAUCACUCCAACAUAGUCCAAGAAACAACUUGCUGAGGAUAAUCCAAUCCUGUAUGACUUCCUGUUCAAUCCAACCUUUACAAAAGCAUAAAAACAAUGGAUUAAAUUUUUUAUUUAUGUUUUAAAAUAAGUGGAUAUAGUUGAUGCAUCAUAGGAUAGUUAUCAGUGGGAAGGAAGUUGGCUUGUAUAUAUGACAAGCAGUUGUAAUAAUUAUAGUGCUAAUAUAGUUGUAAAGGUGGUAAGAGGUAGAGGAUGAUGAGGCAGGAGAACAAGAGCCUAAGGAAAUAAAAAGUCAUUCAACAUUAAGAAAUGUAAGGUGAAAAAAUAUCCAACAAAUAAUUGGAACACAUUUAGGUGGUACUCUUUUUUUUUUCUUACCUUCUUUGAGUUUGGUGUCUACAUGCUUAAACAAGUCUUAAUAUACAUGACAACAUCAUAAGCAUGUUAAGGUUAAUUUUCUCCAACGUGGUAGGUAUUUUAAUUAGUCAUUUUCCCGUUUGGGAAAUCGGCCAGCUGAAAGCGGAAGCAGAUAGGCAAGAAGAAAGACCAAGUCCAUGAUAAUCAAUGCUUCUCGGCUUACUGAAACUCUCUUUCCUCUGGAGGUCUGUAUCAUCAUCUUCUGAGUUGGUAUGUCGGCAUCGUGUGAAGUCCAGUCGAGAGACUAUUAUAUCCCCUUUGGCUACUUUCGGGCUAUAUAUACCAUCAACUCACCCAACAAGCCAACAUAUUGGUUUCCUUCUCUAACUUACUGCUAUCCACCUGGACAAUCUAUUCGUCUUUAUUUGAUGUAUAGUACUUACGGUAUUGGACUAAGAUACCCACCUUUCAUCCUCUGGGUAAGACUCGGUGCGUGCUGGAUCGCAAGACCAAGGUGUUGGGGCUCAUAUUAAGGAGGCGGAUACGUUGGCGAAGAAGCUCCAAAUCAUGACGUCAUGGACCGCACACGUUGCGAUCAGGAUAAUAUUUAAAAGGAGGGAUCUUUCGUCUAUGGAUAUCAAAAAAAAGGAUGUAAAUACUUGUCACCUCGGAGGAAAAAAAUUUAUGUAUGAUAUGAGGAAAAUUGGUCAUAUAUAUUUCAUAAAUGAUGCCAUAUGUUACCAAGGCAUGGCCAGUUCUUAAUGAAAUAAUUACAUCGAUUAGUAUCUUCAAGAAUGGGUCCUUUGGGUAAAACUAUUAUUGAUGAUAAUCAAUAUAAUAUUUUGAGGAUAAUGGCA